GGAGGUUGUUGUGUUAGUAUUUCCAUGGGUAGUGUUAUGAGCCUGGUGAUAGUUUGACAAGGCUUUGGUGGAGGUUGUUGUGUUAGUAUUUCCAUGGGUAGUGUUAUGAGCCUGGUGAUAGUUUGACAAGGCUUUGGUGGAGGUUGUUGUGUUAGUAUUUCCAUGGGUAGUGUUAUGAGCCUGGUGAUAGUUUGACAAGGCUUUGGUGGAGGUUGUUGUGUUAGUAUUUCCAUGGGUAGUGUUAUGAGCCUGGUGAUAGUUUGACAAGGCUUUGGUGGAGGUUGUUGUGUUAGUAUUUCCAUGGGUAGUGUUAUGAGCCUGGUGAUAGUUUGACAAGGCUUUGGUGGAGGUUGUUGUGUUAGUAUUUCCAUGGGUAGUGUUAUGAGCCUGGUGAUAGUUUAACAAGGCUUUGGUGGAGGUUGUUGUGUUAGUAUUUCCAUGGGUAGUGUUAUGAGCCUGGUGAUAGUUUGACAAGGCUUUGGUGGAGGUUGUUGUGUUAGUUUUUCCAUGGGUAGUGUUAUGAGCCUGGUGAUAGUUUGACAAGGCUUUGGUGGAGGUUGUUGUGUUAGUAUUUCCAUGGGUAGUGUUAUGAGCCUGGUGAUAGUUUGACAAGGCUUUGGUGGAGGUUGUUGUGUUAGUAUUUCCAUGGGUAGUAUUAUGAACCUAGUGAUAGUUUGACAAGGCUUUGGUAGAGGUAGUAUUGCCAUAGGCAGUGUUAUGAGCCUAGUGAUGAUUUGACAAGGCUUCGGUAGAGGUAGUAUUGCCAUGGGUAGUGUUCUGAGCCUGGUGAUAGUUUGACAAGGCUUCUGCAUCGUGAACAUGAAACCCACUCAUGAGAACC